UACGUAGGGGGCAAGCGUUGUCCGGAAUCAUUGGGCGUAAAGCGCGCGUAGGCGGCCCGGUAAGUCCGCUGUAAAAGUCCAGGGCUCAACCCUGGGAUGCCGGUCGAUACUGCCGGACUAGAGUUCGGAAGAGGCGAGUGGAAUUCCCGGUGUAGCGGUGAAAUGCGCAGAUAUCGGGAGGAACACCUAUGGCGAAGGCAGCUCGCUGGGACGUUACUGACGCUGAGACGCGAAAGCGUGGGGAGCAAACAGG
rnacentral:rRNA from 1 species